UACGGGGGGAGCAAGCGUUGUUCGGAUUUACUGGGCGUAAAGGGCGGGUAGGCGGCCACCGCAAGCAAGUGGUGAAAUCUCUGGGCUUAACCCAGAAAGGUCAACUGAUACUGCGGGGCUAGAGUGCAGAAGGGGCAACUGGAAUUCUCGGUGUAGCGGUGAAAUGCGUAGAUAUCGAGAGGAACACCUGCGGCGAAGGCGGGUUGCUGGGCUGACACUGACGCUGAACUGCGAAAGCUAGGGGAGCGAACGGG
rnacentral:rRNA from 1 species